GAGUUUGAUCGUGGCUCAGGAUGAACGCCGGCGGCGUGCCUAAUACAUGCAAGUCGAGCGAACGGACGAGAAGCUUGCUUCUCUGAUGUUAGCGGCGGACGGGUGAGUAACACGUGGGUAACCUACCUAUAAGACUGGGGAUAACUCCGGGAAACCGGGGCUAAUACCGGAUAACAUAUGAAACCGCAUGGUUUCAUGAUGAAAGACGGUCUUGCUGUCACUUAUAGAUGGAUCCGCGCUGCAUUAGCUAGUUGGUAAGGUAACGGCUUACCAAGGCAACGAUGCAUAGCCGACCUGAGAGGGUGAUCGGCCACACUGGAACUGAGACACGGUCCAGACUCCUACGGGAGGCAGCAGUAGGGAAUCUUCCGCAAUGGGCGAAAGCCUGACGGAGCAACGCCGCGUGAGCGAUGAAGGUCUUCGGAUCGUAAAACUCUGUUAUUAGGGAAGACAUAUGUGUAAGUAACUGUGCACAUCUUGACGGUACCUAAUCAGAAAGCCACGGCUAACUACGU
rnacentral:rRNA from 1 species